ensembl:lncRNA
AUGGAACUACGUUGGUCAAGUCUGGAUCUCAGGUUCAGCAGGCUGAAGACUGGUUUGGCAACCCAUGAAAUCUGCAAGAAGGGGUGGAUCACUGCUCCCAAAUGAAAUAAUAUACAGUACUGGAGGAAGAUAGGGGAGGAGAUGCUGCAUAGACACAACUGACAGAGGUUGGAGAAAAGAGGAAACCAUAGAGCAUACUCUGAGAUGGGCAGCCUUCCAAACAUCACAAUUACUUCUGUGGAAAAGCAGAGCUAAGACUGAGAGGGUAUCCGAGAAUGUAUGGAUAACAAGAGAAUGAAUAUCUCAAGAAAUCAGACUCUGUUGAAAUCCCCCCCUUUUGAACCUAAUCCUCUCUCUCUUUAAAGGUAGCGGAAUAUAGAGAGACAAGAGUGGAAACGUGUAAACCAGUUGAAAGACUCUUCAGAGUGCAGCAGAAAGCCAGCGGUGGCUACAGUUAAGGUAACAGCAACUGAAAUGAAGAGACAAGGAGAAAUUUGGUAUAUAUUUUGGAAAUGCAGCUGAUUGGACUUUCACAUAGAUUUAAUAGGAAGGUGGAGUUGCAGAGAGAAGACAUUUAGACUCCUAAGUGGUAUGACUGACAAUACUCUUAAAUAUUUCCCAAUUUGAGUGG